UUACCGCGAAAGGCCACCUCGGCAGCGACAGCGCGGGAGGGAGGUGAAGGUCGGCCUGGUUUUCAGCACUCCCGGGCUGGGCAAGAGAGUCAAAGAAGAGUGAAGAGAGUGUGAGACCGGGCCGUGGCCUCGCGGUCUAGCCGCUCUCCCUCCUAGACCUGCCCCGCUUGUUUGGAUUUAAUCUUCAGGUUGCCGGCGCCCGCCCGCCGGCCUCGCGGAGUGAGGGGAAGCGCUCGCGCCUGUGUCUGGCGCCUGCCGAGUCCGGACACCCGCCCGUCCUCUUCGCUUGCCCGCGGCAGCCGCGUCCCUGAACCGCGGGGUCGUGUUUGUGUUUGACCCGCGGGCGCCGGCAGUGGGGCGCGCGGCCGAGGCCAGUGCCGGCGGGGCGGGGCGGGCGCGGCAGAGGCGGAGGAAGAGGGAGCAGAAUCCCUGGGAGGCAGGGCGCCGCCAUGGAACUGGGCCCGGAGCCCCCGCACCGCCGCCGCCUGCUCUUCGCCUGCAGCCCCCCUCCCGCACCGCAGCCCGUCGUGAAGGCGCUGUUCAGCACGCCAGCCGCCGGGGGCCUGUCGCCUGUCACCAGCCUGACGGUCACCAUGGACCAGCUGCAGGGACUGGGCAGUGAGUAUGAACAGCCCCUGGAGGUGAGGAAUAGCUGUCUGCAGAGAAUGGGCUCCUCCGAAUCAACUGAUUCAGGCUUCUGUCUGGAUUCUCCUGGGCCCUUGGAUAGUAAAGAAAACCUUGAAAAUCCCAUGAGGAGAAUAAAUUCUCUGCCUCAGAAGCUCUUGGGGUGUAGCCCAGCUCUGAAGAGGAGCCAUUCUGAUUCUCUUGACCAUGAUGUCUUUCAGCUAAUUGACCAGGAUGAGAACAAGGAAAACGAAGCCUUUGAGUUUAAGAAGCCAGUAAGACCUGCAUCUCGAGGUUGCCUGCAUGCUCAUGGACUGCAGGAGGGUAAAGAUCUCUUCACACAGAGGCAGAACUCUGCCCCAGCUCGGAUGCUUUCCUCAAAUGAAAGAGAUGGCAGUGAACCAGGGCAUUUCACUCCUUUUUUUAUGCCCCACUCCCCUGUGACUGCCACUUUGUCUGAUGAGGAUGAUGGCUUCAUGGAUCUUCUCGAUGGAGAGAAUCUGAAGAAUGAUGAAGAGACCCCGUCCUGCAUGGCAAGCCUCUGGACAGCUCCCCUUGUCAUGAGAAGAACUACAAACCUGGGCAAUCGUUGCAAGCUGUUUGACUCCCCUUCCACGUGUAGCUCCACCAUCCCGUCAACGUUGAAAAGACCAGACCGAUCGCAAGAGGAGUCCCCACGUGGAAAUAGGAAGCGGAGGAAGAGCGUGGCUGGGGCCAGUCCCGAAGAGGCAGCUAGUCCAAAGAAGCCCCAGGAGAUUCUACAUCAGUCUUUAUGCCUGGUGUCUUCCCCAAAAGGGACCAUUGAGAAUAUUUUGGAUAAUGACCCAAGGGACCUUAUAGGAGACUUCUCCAAGUGUUACCUCUUUCAUACAGUUGCUGGAAAGCAUCAGGAUUUAAAAUACAUCUCUCCAGAAAUUAUAGCGUCUGUUUUGAGUGGCAAGUUUGCCAACCUCAUUAAAGAGUUUGUUAUCAUUGACUGCCGAUACCCAUAUGAAUAUGAGGGAGGCCACAUCAAGGGUGCAGUGAACUUGCACAUGGAAGAGGAGGUUGAAGACUUCUUACUCAAGAAGCCCAUCGUACCUACGGAUGGCAAGCGUGUCAUCGUGGUGUUCCACUGCGAGUUUUCUUCUGAGCGAGGCCCUCGCAUGUGCCGAUAUGUGAGAGAGAGAGAUCGGCUUGGUAAUGAGUACCCCAAACUCCAUUACCCGGAGCUAUAUGUCCUGAAGGGCGGAUAUAAGGAGUUCUUCCUGAAAUGCCAGGAUUGAGCAACAUACCAAAGGAGGGACCACUGUAAAGGAGAUAGGAGUUUCAGUUGUGUUCUGAAGGAGCCAGAGAGGAUACUGCAGAAGGAAAUCAGGCAGAUGGGCUUCUCCGAAUCCUUCACCUGCGGCACACAUUUCAGGAGAGGAGAGAGCAUUUUACAAACCUAUUUACCCACAGAGCCCUUCUUCCAUGGAGCUGGGUUCCUGAGGACUGGUUUUGUGGACGCUGGUUUCUCUCCUGUGUGGCUAUUCUCGCUAGAUUCUCAUGAGGUGGGGUUGCCUCCAUUUCAGGGAUGCAGACACUCGUGCUCAUCGAUGGGUGAGUCACUUUCACUUACUUGGCCACCAAACAGCAGAGGUGGGAGUAGACGUUUGUGCUUCAGGUUCCAAGUCCAAGACUUUUUCCUGACUUUCUCCUACUACGUCCAAGCCCCCUUCCUAAGACCAUCAGUUCUGGAUCUGGGCUUCAGCUUCUUGAGCCCAGAAGCCACCUCUGGGUGAUUGCAACAUUGCUGAAUUCCUGUGAGACUUAAUUUCCUAAUUUAUGCAGGAAGCCCCACUUUCCCUCUCUUUCCUGGGCUCGUGAUGGGUCCUAAACAAAUGGUUCUGAAGAAAGGGAGAAGUUGGGACCACUUGAUUUAAGUUUGAAGAGGGAAGUAAAUUGCGCCUGCACCUGGGCGGAGGACACCUCCUGGCCACUCAUGUUACAAGGAUGCCAGGUCUCUCCCUGUACACGCACAGGUGUUUUGUUUUCCUGAGCCCCAGUUCUAGAUGAGUUAAUGCUGUGAUUCAGUUGAGGUUCCGUCUCAGCAAUUCUGAGCCUGGGAGACACCCUGUCUCUCCCCUACUCCCUGCCCCACACCUACCCUGCACCUGGAAGGCGAGGGCAGCUGGGCUGGUGGAAGCUGGGGCUCCUCACCUGCCUGGCAUUUGCCGGCACCCAAACAACUGGGUUGGGGGGGGGGGAAGCAUGACAAGCCUUGGCAGCUGCCGAGCUACCCAGGCAGGUAGGGAAGGAGGCCAUUGGGGGCUGAAACAGGGUGUGGCGACAGGUCUAACUAAGAGCUGCAAGUCCUGCCCAGACAUCCGGCUGUCUCGGGAGGCCGGGUGUGCUGACAAGUGUGGGCUGACCCGGAGCCCAGGCCACUGGGCACCUGAUGAGCAGUGCUGGGUGAGGGAAUGGGUGGAUGGAAAGCUCACAUUCAUUAUCUGCAAAAUGCGGAUAAUAGCCGGGUGGUUUCAGAAUGAAAUGACAAUACAUAUAAGGAACUUAGAAUAGUUCCAGCAAGUACUCAAAAAUGCCAGGUCUGACUGUGGUGAGCCCAACACAGAGGGUCCAGUUGGUUCAUCUCUUAUCCUCCACAGAACUCAAAAACAACAGACAAAAUCAAGAGAGCAACAAAAAUCACCUAACACCGAGUCUUCAGGAAACCCCAUAAUGGAGUGCAUUUUGUAGAUGGGUAAACAGUCCUGGAAGGGCUGUGAGUCACCACAGAUAACACCUGAGGCUGGCACAUAGCAAGAGGACCUGGUCCAUACCCCGGCUCAGGCAGAGCUGGUUCCUUCCCUCCCUCCACCCUCUCCUUAAAUCCAACACCUUGGAGAAGGCUGCUGAGGCAGGAGAAGCUGAGGUUCACACAGGAAAACACGGCCCUGAGAGGUGGGGCGGCGCCGACAUUCCUUCCUUCACCAGACCCGUCCUCACUCCUGAGCCCACCUCCCACUGCCCUCUCCACUUACCGCCCGCCCUCCGUGGGGUCACCUAGGCCUCUCCUACUCCAGGAAGUCUUCCCCCAACCCUGACUCAGCUGCCUGCGGGGCUCUGGCGGCACUCCCACGCUGGGCGGCCCCAUGGAAGUGGAGGGGUCUUCCUCUUCUGAAUGACUUUGGUGAACCAGAGAGACUGGGAGUUACUUCCUGAGGUGUUGGCCAAAGCCAGGAGUCAACCAAAAGAAUUCUUUACAGAAAGCUUCAUCCAACAGCUAUCACUGAGCACCUGCCAGGCACCAGGCAUGUGGGCCCUGCCACUGAGAAGCCUUGGUGUGGGUGUUUCUUGACAGGUGGCUCAUUCAGGGUGUUGAGUGUGGUGACCUUGACAGCACUAUGGUGGCCCAGAGUACGGACCAGGUUUCAGGUCUUAAGAUCAGAAGAGUGAACUCUUUAAUAAGCUCCAACUUGCUUCCUUCCGUGUAAGGGGGUCCUCACCCUCAAGGAGCUGCUAUGGCUCUGCCAAGUUCCCUUCUGCCCUGCGCCCUCCUUGGACAGGGCUUAUACCGUAGAAAAACCAUGGCUCUGUCGUGUCUGCCCCUGUAAAACGUGCACCUUGCGUGAUGUGGAGAAAACGCCUGUAAGCCACUGGGCACAGAGGAGGCACUCCAUACACAGCUUUAUUUCUCAGCCCAAAUGUUCAUUUUCCUUUCAAAUGCAAAAUGCCUCCACUUCCCAAGCAGUUUGGUCUCUGUCUGAAGGUCACAGCAAGGUCUCACGUUCCGGUUUGCCCUGCUGGCCUUUCCUGCCUGCUUCCUGCCUCCUGUGCAUCCUCAGAGAGCCUCAGUGAUUUGCCUGUUCACAGCUCUGUGUUCCUGAACUCUGUUCCCUCGCGUGAAACACCUUUCCUUCCCCUGCUUUGCCAAUCCUUUUCACUGGGUUGGGUCCUCCUCCCCAGCAUUCUCAGGCCCCCCAGGCAGCAUUCAUCAGCUCUUCCUCUGCUCUCCCAAAGGCUUUUCCAUGCGCUUAUUUCAUGUUUACCUUAGCUGCCAUUUCUCUUAUUCUCUUUGUGUUUCUCUGGCUCUCCCUCUUCUCAACAGAGUUGGCCUUAGAGAAACUGAGCUGGGUAGAGGAGUUGUGUACUUUUUAGGGUAUCAUAGGGUAUCAGAGCAUGGAGAACGGGAUCACCCCUGGAGCCCAUAGCUCAGCUGGACGCAGUUUGUGGAAUGCUCAGGGUCAGACUCGAUGACUGCCCCGAAGCUGGUGUCCAGGAAGGAGCUGCAUCGGGCCUCUCAUUAUUGAGGUUCCCACCUCGCCUGGGAGUGGCCACAUGCCAGUGAAUCCUGCCCCUGCACGUGGGUGGGGCAAGGCCAGGAGGCUGUGUGUCUCUGAGCCUGUGCAGCAUGAGGCCUCCUUGGCCAGGAAUCCGUCUGAAUACCUUUGGCCAUCAGAAGUCUUGGAUCCUGGCCCUAAGCCCCUGUAGAGGCACUGAGGCUCUGCUGGAAGGAUUCCUUACUCUUUAAUUAGGCUAAACAUAUAUAGGUCUCCCCAGCCACCCAGAUUCAGUUUCAGGCCAGGACACAGUACACGUGGAUUCUCUUUGGCUUCCCAGAACCUUUGAACAUUCUCCUGUGCUGUGGACUCCCCCACUCUGAGUCCCACUCCUUCAGGUAGAAGCCAGACCUAAGCUUUAUCAGCAUCUUUACAGCUGCGGCACCACCUGGGCCCUGGGCCCUGCCCCAUUGUUGGCAGCUGAGAACCCAGAUGGACACAGGCAUCAUCCAGAUGCCAUACUGUGUUCUGGGCAGACUCCUGGUGUCCGGAGAUAAAUCAGAACAAGCAACUCUAAUAGAGCCCCGGGGAAAAGACUACAAUGAGGGGAGGUGUCCUGAGUUCUGGGAGCAGAGACUAUGGAGACUGGCAGGGAGAGGCCCCGUCUUACUCAUUUAUUAAUGACCCUGUCCUUCUGGCAGUGAGGUGUCCUAUAAAGUAAACUGGAUUGAAUGUCUGAAAACAUGAGUUGGGGGGCUUCCCUUGUGGUCCAGUGAGUAAGACUCCAAGCUCCCAAUGCAGGGGGCCUGGGUUCGAUCCCCG